CAGCCAGCAGAGGUCCCGUGUGCCAGCCCCGCCGUCCCUGCUCCCACCCGGCCCUCUCCCCACUCCACUCCACUCCACACGCAGCUCUCCACUUGGCUACAUCAACUCCCUCCACUCUCUUCACACUCUCCUCUCCCAGACGGAACUGCCUCCACUUUGCAAGACAUGGUGCAACAGAGGAAGAGGAGGAGGAGGAAGAGGAGGAAGAGGAGGAGGAGGGGUUCGGUCAGCACUCUAAUCAUUAACUUAUUAUAUUUGUCAGAAUGAAGACCCACGAACGUACCUGGGACAAGCAUGCGUAUAGUCACACCUGAUGGAAUGAAUGACGCAAGUUACGGAAGGUGACGCCGCACGAUCGAGUCAAAAAAUAAAGAAGACAACAACAACAACAACAACAACAACAACAACAACAACAACAACAACAACAACAAUAACAACAACAACAACAACGGCGCAGAAGAAAAAAAAAUCAGCAAGGAAAUGUUAAAGGUGAAUUUACCAUCUAA